AGUUAUAAUAGUUUAAUUAAAACAGAGGUCUUGUAAACCUAAAAUGAUCAAUCUUAUAACUUC
rnacentral:tRNA from 1 species